UUUAACAUUUACCGGAGUUUCCUUCCUCUCCAUCCCCUUCCCUCCCAAAAGGCAUUAAUUAGGUUUAGGUUUGGAAAAUCUGUUGUGAAUUCGGAAGGAUAAGGAUCAAUCGAAUCAUAUUGAAGCCGAGAUACAAAAAUUAGAAGACUCUAGAACUGUGGAAAGUUGAGCAAUUGACGUGUCAUGGCGGAAGAAGAAGAAGAUGAUGAUGGCCAACGCACCAAGAGUAGCUCCUCUACCUCGAAUCCGUGCCCUAUUUGCCUCGGACCUCUUCUUCCACUUCAAGAAUCCUACUUGGACCAGUGUUUUCGUAUAUAAGUUCUGUUACGAUUGCAUUGUACAUUGGACAAAAGUGGUAGCAAGCAGGCAUUCUUGCCGACCUUCCUCUGUAAGGUGUCCUAUGUGCAAGAAAGAAAAUUUU